rnacentral:rRNA from 1 species
GGGUUGUGAGGUUAAGCGACUAAGCGUACACGGUGGAUGCCCUGGCAGUCAGAGGCGAUGAAGGACGUGCUAAUCUGCGAUAAGCGUCGGUAAGGUGAUAUGAACCGUUAUAACCGGCGAUUUCCGAAUGGGGAAACCCAGUGUGUUUCGACACACUAUCAUUAACUGAAUCCAUAGGUUAAUGAGGCGAACCGGGGGAACUGAAACAUCUAAGUACCCCGAGGAAAAGAAAUCAACCGAGAUUCCCCCAGUAGCGGCGAGCGAACGGGGAGCAGCCCAGAGCCUGAAUCAGUGUGUGUGUUAGUGGAAGCGUCUGGAAAGGCGCGCGAUACAGGGUGACAGCCCCGUACACAAAAAUGCACAUGCUGUGAGCUCGAUGAGUAGGGCGGGACACGUGGUAUCCUGUCUGAAUAUGGGGGGACCAUCCUCCAAGGCUAAAUACUCCUGACUGACCGAUAGUGAACCAGUACCGUGAGGGAAAGGCGAAAAGAACCCCGGCGAGGGGAGUGAAAAAGAACCUGAAACCGUGUACGUACAAGCAGUGGGAGCACGCUUAGGCGUGUGACUGCGUACCUUUUGUAUAAUGGGUCAGCGACUUAUAUUCUGUAGCAAGGUUAACCGAAUAGGGGAGCCGAAGGGAAACCGAGUCUUAACUGGGCGUUAAGUUGCAGGGUAUAGACCCGAAACCCGGUGAUCUAGCCAUGGGCAGGUUGAAGGUUGGGUAACACUAACUGGAGGACCGAACCGACUAAUGUUGAAAAAUUAGCGGAUGACUUGUGGCUGGGGGUGAAAGGCCAAUCAAACCGGGAGAUAGCUGGUUCUCCCCGAAAGCUAUUUAGGUAGCGCCUCGUGAAUUCAUCUCCGGGGGUAGAGCACUGUUUCGGCAAGGGGGUCAUCCCGACUUACCAACCCGAUGCAAACUGCGAAUACCGGAGAAUGUUAUCACGGGAGACACACGGCGGGUGCUAACGUCCGUCGUGAAGAGGGAAACAACCCAGACCGCCAGCUAAGGUCCCAAAGUCAUGGUUAAGUGGGAAACGAUGUGGGAAGGCCCAGACAGCCAGGAUGUUGGCUUAGAAGCAGCCAUCAUUUAAAGAAAGCGUAAUAGCUCACUGGUCGAGUCGGCCUGCGCGGAAGAUGUAACGGGGCUAAACCAUGCACCGAAGCUGCGGCAGCGACGCUUAUGCGUUGUUGGGUAGGGGAGCGUUCUGUAAGCCUGCGAAGGUGUGCUGUGAGGCAUGCUGGAGGUAUCAGAAGUGCGAAUGCUGACAUAAGUAACGAUAAAGCGGGUGAAAAGCCCGCUCGCCGGAAGACCAAGGGUUCCUGUCCAACGUUAAUCGGGGCAGGGUGAGUCGACCCCUAAGGCGAGGCCGAAAGGCGUAGUCGAUGGGAAACAGGUUAAUAUUCCUGUACUUGGUGUUACUGCGAAGGGGGGACGGAGAAGGCUAUGUUGGCCGGGCGACGGUUGUCCCGGUUUAAGCGUGUAGGCUGGUUUUCCAGGCAAAUCCGGAAAACUAAGGCUGAGGCGUGAUGACGAGGCACUACGGUGCUGAAGCAACAAAUGCCCUGCUUCCAGGAAAAGCCUCUAAGCAUCAGGUAACAUCAAAUCGUACCCCAAACCGACACAGGUGGUCAGGUAGAGAAUACCAAGGCGCUUGAGAGAACUCGGGUGAAGGAACUAGGCAAAAUGGUGCCGUAACUUCGGGAGAAGGCACGCUGAUAUGUAGGUGAAGUCCCUCGCGGAUGGAGCUGAAAUCAGUCGAAGAUACCAGCUGGCUGCAACUGUUUAUUAAAAACACAGCACUGUGCAAACACGAAAGUGGACGUAUACGGUGUGACGCCUGCCCGGUGCCGGAAGGUUAAUUGAUGGGGUCAGCGCAAGCGAAGCUCUUGAUCGAAGCCCCGGUAAACGGCGGCCGUAACUAUAACGGUCCUAAGGUAGCGAAAUUCCUUGUCGGGUAAGUUCCGACCUGCACGAAUGGCGUAAUGAUGGCCAGGCUGUCUCCACCCGAGACUCAGUGAAAUUGAACUCGCUGUGAAGAUGCAGUGUACCCGCGGCAAGACGGAAAGACCCCGUGAACCUUUACUAUAGCUUGACACUGAACAUUGAGCCUUGAUGUGUAGGAUAGGUGGGAGGCUUUGAAGUGUGGACGCCAGUCUGCAUGGAGCCGGCCUUGAAAUACCACCCUUUAAUGUUUGAUGUUCUAACGUUGACCCGUGAUCCGGGUUGCGGACAGUGUCUGGUGGGUAGUUUGACUGGGGCGGUCUCCUCCUAAAGAGUAACGGAGGAGCACGAAGGUUGGCUAAUCCUGGUCGGACAUCAGGAGGUUAGUGCAAUGGCAUAAGCCAGCUUGACUGCGAGCGUGACGGCGCGAGCAGGUGCGAAAGCAGGUCAUAGUGAUCCGGUGGUUCUGAAUGGAAGGGCCAUCGCUCAACGGAUAAAAGGUACUCCGGGGAUAACAGGCUGAUACCGCCCAAGAGUUCAUAUCGACGGCGGUGUUUGGCACCUCGAUGUCGGCUCAUCACAUCCUGGGGCUGAAGUAGGUCCCAAGGGUAUGGCUGUUCGCCAUUUAAAGUGGUACGCGAGCUGGGUUUAGAACGUCGUGAGACAGUUCGGUCCCUAUCUGCCGUGGGCGCUGGAGAACUGAGGGGGGCUGCUCCUAGUACGAGAGGACCGGAGUGGACGCAUCACUGGUGUUCGGGUUGUCAUGCCAAUGGCACUGCCCGGUAGCUAAAUGCGGAAGAGAUAAGUGCUGAAAGCAUCUAAGCACGAAACUUGCCCCGAGAUGAGUUCUCCCUGACUCCUUGAGAGUCCUGAAGGAACGUUGAAGACGACGACGUUGAUAGGCCGGGUGUGUAAGCGCAGCGAUGCGUUGAGCUAACCGGUACUAAUGAACCGUGAGGCUUAACCUUACAACGCCGAAG